rnacentral:rRNA from 1 species
AGCAGUCGCCGCGGUAAUACGUAGGGUGCGAGCGUUAAUCGGAAUUACUGGGCGUAAAGCGUGCGCAGGCGGUUUUGUAAGACAGGCGUGAAAUCCCCGGGCUCAACCUGGGAAUGGCGCUUGUGACUGCAAAGCUAGAGUGCGGCAGAGGGGGAUGGAAUUCCGCGUGUAGCAGUGAAAUGCGUAGAUAUGCGGAGGAACGCCGAUGGCGAAGGCAAUCCCCUGGGCCUGCACUGACGCUCAUGCAUGAAAGCGUGGGGAGCAAACAGGAUUAGAUACCCCCGUAGUCCCUGUCUCUUAUAC